AACUUAGUGGCGGACGGGUGAGUAACGCGUGAGUAACCUGCCUUUCAGAGGGGGAUAACGUCCUGAAAAGGACGCUAAUACCGCAUGAUAUAUUUGUGCCGCAUGGUAUGGAUAUCAAAGGAGCAAUCCGCUGGAAGAUGGACUCGCGUCCGAUUAGCUAGUUGGAGGGGUAACGGCCCACCAAGGCGACGAUCGGUAGCCGGACUGAGAGGUUGAACGGCCACAUUGGGACUGAGACACGGCCCAGACUCCUACGGGAGGCAGCAGUGGGGGAUAUUGCGCAAUGGGGGAAACCCUGACGCAGCAACGCCGCGUGAAGGAAGAAGGUUUUCGGAUUGUAAACUUCUUUUCUAAGGGACGAAGAAGUGACGGUACCUUAGGAAUAAGCUCCGGCUAACUACGUGCCAGCAGCCGCGGUAAUACGUAGGGAGCAAGCGUUGUCCGGAUUUACUGGGUGUAAAGGGUGCGUAGGCGGCAAUGCAAGUCAGAUGUGAAAUGCACGGGCUCAACCCGUGAGCUGCAUUUGAAACUGUGUUGCUUGAGUGAGGUAGAGGCAGGCGGAAUUCCCGGUGUAGCGGUGAAAUGCGUAGAGAUCGGGAGGAACACCAGUGGC
rnacentral:rRNA from 1 species